rnacentral:rRNA from 1 species
AUUGAACGCUGGCGGAAUGCUUUACACAUGCAAGUCGAACGGCAGCACGGACUUCGGUCUGGUGGCGAGUGGCGAACGGGUGAGUAAUGUAUCGGAACGCGCCCAGUCGUGGGGGAUAACGCAGUGAAAAUUACGCUAAUACCGCAUACGAUCUAUGGAUGAAAGCGGGGGAUCGCAAGACCUCGCGCGAUUGGAGCGGCCGAUAUCAGAUUAGGUAGUUGGUGGGGUAAAGGCCCACCAAGCCAACGAUCUGUAGCUGGUCUGAGAGGACGACCAGCCACACUGGAACUGAGACACGGUCCAGACUCCUAGGGGAGGCAGCAGUGGGGAAUUUUGGACAAUGGGCGAAAGCCUGAUCCAGCCAUUCCGCGUGCAGGAUGAAGGCCCUCGGGUUGUAAACUGCUUUUGUACAGAACGAAAAGGUUUCUACUAAUACUAGGAGCUCAUGACGGUACUGUAAGAAUAAGCACCGGCUAACUACGUGCCAGCCGCCGCCGUAA